rnacentral:rRNA from 1 species
UGAGGAAUAUUGGUCAAUGGGCGGGAGCCUGAACCAGCCAAGCCGCGUGAGGGAAGAAGGCCCUAUGGGUCGUAAACCUCUUUUGUCAGGGAACAAAAGCGAGUAUGUAUACUAGUCUGAGUGUACCUGAAGAAAAAGCAUCGGCUAACUCCGUGCCAGCAGCCGCGGUAAUACGGAGGAUGCGAGCGUUAUCCGGAUUUAUUGGGUUUAAAGGGUGCGUAGGCGGCGAUGCAAGUCAGCGGUAAAAGCCCGGGGCUCAACCCCGGCGAGCCGUUGAAACUGCAGUGCUAGAGAAGGCGAGAGGUACGCGGAAUGCGCAGUGUAGCGGUGAAAUGCUUAGAUAUUGCGCAGAACUCCGAUUGCGAAGGCAGCGUACUGGCGCCUGACUGACGCUGAGGCACGAAAGCGUGGGGGGAUCGAACAGGGAUUUAGAUACC